AGCCACCAUCGCGGACGCAAGUGCUCAGCGGCCAUCGACGAAGCAAUUGCCCCAGAGCCGGAGCCGCUGUUGAGAAAGCAAGUUGCCCAGACGUCGUCGAAGAACCAAGUGCCACAACCGCCAAGGAUACAUGCACAUCUCUUGCACAUGAAGAAAAUACAGCCACGUGCUAUAGAGAAGAAUGCCAGUACCUCGAGUGUACAGUCAGAAAAGAAACUGAGCUGGUAUGCCCGAUUGUUUGAUGAGAAGAAAGCGGAGUACCUACAGAGACAGCGUAUAGCCCGUCAGCAAACUGUAAUGAACACACAUAACAAUGAUGGAACUGAUAUGCCUGCAAGCUCACUAGGGACUAAUCAUCCAGCUGAAGAAAUUAUUGUCGGAUGGAAGAAACGAACUGAACAGGGAUGGUAUGGUAGCCUAUUUGAAGAUAAGAAAGAAGAAUACCGCAAGAAACAACGGCAGGACAGACUCCAGAAGAAAUCUGAAGCUCACGUUCUUAACAUGGAUGUACCCCAAUCCUCUACUAUUGAUCAUGUUUCCCUCAUGACACAAAUAGGUCAGUGUUCCCCUCAUGAUCUAGCAUAAGAAUUUAGAAAAUAAGUUGCAUGUUAGUUGUGUGAUUGCACACCUUGUAAAGAACCUCAACAUAUUGGCAAUUAGCAACAAACCUUAUAUAUACUGGACAAGGACAUCAUUAUCUUCCUUGUGUCGCAUGCAAUAUUGCCAUUUUCAUCUUCCACAGUACCUCCUCAAAUUUAGCCA